AUGAAGGCUCCCUCUCAGCUUUUUGUGUUCCUGGUGUUCUGGAUCCCAGGCAUGAUAUGUGACAUCCAGAUGACCCAGUCCCCAUCCUUGUCUGCAUCUCUAGGAGACAGAGUCACCAUUACUUGCAGGGCAAGUGAAAGCAUUAGUAAAUGGUUAGCCUGGUAUCAGCAGAAAGCAGAUAACUCUCCUAAACUCCUCAUAUACCAUGCAACCAAUUUGCAAUCUGGGAUUCCUUCAAGGUUCAGUGGCAGUGGAUCUGGGACAGAUUUUACUCUCACCAUUAGCAGCCUGCAGCCUGAAGAUGUUGCUACUUAUUACUGUCAACAGUAUAAUAGUUUCCCUCCCACAGUGAUACAAGCCAUGACAUAA